rnacentral:rRNA from 1 species
AUGGCUUCAUCUGAUUCCAUGACAAGGCCACCGUGUGCUAACCAAGAAGACAUGCUUCACAAGAGGGAGAACAAAUCUUUGGACAAGGUGAAGGAGAAAGAUGUGAAGAUUCCGCCAUGUUGUUGUGGAGAUGUUUGCAAGGUGAAGGUGUCCACCGACAGAAAGAAGUCAUGGACGGAAGGAAGGAGAUAUUUUGUAUGCCCCAACUAUGCUUAUGAUCGUACAUUUCCAACUCACGCCGAUGACCAACCACUGGUAUGCUAG